CACUCACAGACACACAUACACAGACAUGCAUGCCCCAACCACACACACACACACACACACACACACACACACACAAACAAUAAUAAUAAUAAUGAAUAAAAAACACCACAGGAAUCUUAUUCAUUAGAAAUAUCGUCAUGUUACAGAAGAAGCACUGGGUUCCAGCUUCUAGUUUAUCUUGGGUUUACAAUAACCAUGAAAAUACUCAUUUUUUUCUGGAUUAUUGAUGUCAUGGUGGUGAAAUAACAGUUUCAUUUAGAGCAAUUCAAGAGUAAACAGAUAUUCACUCCCUCAAUAAAUGAUCUUAGAACAUGGUUGCUUUUGCAUCUCAUUUCUCUAUUUGGAAUUAGCACCUUCUUAUUUUCUCUGAAAUCAACAUAAUUGCUACUGUUCUUUUUAUUUUAUUUUAUUUUAUUUUAUAAGUUUCAGUUUUAGUUGAGAAAAAGAAUUACUUGAAAUAAAGUGUCUUGAAUUUUAGCACACUGACUCAUACCUGCAGACCCCCCUGCUAAGAGAUGUUGAAUCUAAUCUACACAUCGAGAAGGCUGGAUAAAACUUCAGAAGAUGGUGGAGCCGAGCUGUGUCUCCUCAAAGCUUGCAUGUUCUACACUGCUUCAUUUUGUUUCAUUUUAGGAAAAACAUUUUAAAAAUGCUGGAUAACAGUUUAUAGAGUUGAUGUAUCCAUAUGUAUAUUUAUAUAAACCCUUUAUGUUUACUAUUAACUAAUUGUAUGUACUCAGUAAUGUUUUUAAAAUUUAAAACCCCAUGUCCAAAUACCUUCUGAAACUUCCUUGCUUCUAAUUAUUGAUUUAUUUAUCAGGGUUGCUGGCAUUUUAGCUUCAUAAAAUACAAUACUGUUAUUAUUUUUUUUUUUUUUUUGAGAAUUUCAGGAUGUAUUUUGAUUGUAUUUUCACGGCAAUUCUUCCCUGCAAAGUCCACUCCAACCUUCUUACCUCCUUCCCAUCACAUUUAGCUCUUAUAGAGCCUGCCCUUUAACCAGGCAUUUAGGUUUUAUAAGUGAUGUGAGUUACAAUGAAAGGCUGUUUACCAGGAGAUGGAAAAAAAUUAAGAGACUAAAAAACACCUUAUAAGCAAAAGAAGGCUUUUAGUGUGCUAUUUAAAAGGGUGGCAAUGCAUUCUUAGGGCAUUAGCUUACUUGCCAUCUGCAUAUUCUUUGCUAGCAGAGAUCUCUUACCUCCCUACCCGAAAGCUUCUCAGCUGCACAUGUGCUGGAGAGACUCUGGAAGUGAUGGGUAAGGAAUAAUUCAGGAAUUUCUACUUGUAUGCACAGCACACAUGCUACAUAUAAUUAGGGUAUUGGGACCCUAAAGUCUGGAAUACAUUCAAAUGCCCAGUCUACCAUUAAACCAUGUCUAUAUCUGGCUCAUUUGGUGAGGGCUAUACUCCUUACCCCAUCCCCUAAGGUUAAAUUUCCCAGCUCUUUUCCCAUGUCAGAUGCUUUGAGAAAUGUAUGGUUUGAUGCCCCCCCGCCCCCAGAACAAUGAACAUGGAGAACAUUAGGCUUGUAAUGUGAUAAUUGUUAUAAAACAAAAGGAUCCUUUAUAUCUUAUGAGUCUAAUCAAGUUUUUGCUUCAUGUUUGCUUGCUCAUUUUCAAUAUGUGUUAUUUUGAACAUAGCUAAGGAUCCAUCUGAGCUGGAAGAAUGUUUCAGUACACUUAGCAACAAAGAAAG
rnacentral:lncRNA from 1 species